GUUCUGAAGGUCAAAGGCAGUGAGAGCAGCCCAGUUGGGCAUUCUGGCGAAGCCUGCGGGGGAGGUGGAGCCCUUCCCAGAGCACCCUGAUAACCCUGACAGGCACACUCGCUGCCUCCGGGGCCUGAGGAGGAGGGUGGAAAGCUCUCCCAUAUCCUCGAGCGAGGAAAGCGCUCUCCUUGACUGCCCUCGCAUGUCUAGUGACCUGUCUCUGCACUGGGACCAGGAAGAUGCUUUAUUUCAAAGAGGCCCCGCAGCUCCGUGUGAGGCCUGCACACAGGAGAGACAAAGAGACAUGAACUGGGAGACUCCAGAGGAGGUGUCUGUGCUGGGAAGAGAGACGACAGGGCCUGGGGCUGCUGCCUAGCUGGGGAAGAGCUGGGCCCCAGGCAGGAGAAUGACCCUCGAAGAAGUACAAGCCCUAAUCUCUAGACCCCGAGAAUCGGCCUGUGGAUGUGAUGAAGGACCUCGAGAUGGAGCGCAUAUCCUGGAUUAUCUGCGCAGGUCCUGGGUAAUCACCAGGGCCCUUCUAAGAGGGAGGCGGAGAGAGAGGUCAGUGUCAGAGAGAGAUGUGACGAUGGGAGAAGAGGUCAGAAAGAGAUUGGAAGAUGCUACUCAGUGGCUUUGCAGAUGCAGGGAGGGGGCAUGAACCAAGGAAUCGGGAGGCUUUUUGAAGCUGGGAAAGGCAAGGCAAUGGAUUCUUUCUUGGAACCUCCAGAAGGAAUGCAGCCCUGCUGGCACCUUGACUUUCAUCCUUUAAGACCCAUGUCUGGACUCCUGACCUCCAGAACUGUAAUAUAAUACAUCUGCGUUGUUUCGAACCUGUAAGUCUGUGGUAGUUUGCUGCAGCAACAACAGGAAUUAAUACUCAGGCCCUGGUGCUUUCAGGGAAGGGCUGUGGCCAAUGUGCCUGGGGCCUGGGGUGGGAGAGGUGGAGUGGGGACAGAUGAGGCUGGACAGAUAGGCAGGGGAUACACAGGGCCUUCCAAGUCACAGCAAAGAAUUUGCCCUAGCCAAGGCAGUCCAAGUGAGACAGGAGGAAGAGGGGAGCAGUAUUUUGGGGGGAUCCGUGCUGUGGAAGAUGGUCUGGUGGGAAGUGGCUGGGGCACACUGACAUUGGGGAGCUGCUGUAGGUGCAGCAGAAGGUGACAUGGCCUGGACCCAGCUAGUGGCAAUGCGGGAAGGCAUAGCCUGCCUGAGAGCUGAAACACAGCAGAGGGCAAAUUCCUCUUCUCCCCUGCCCUUGUUUUUUUUCUUCCUGCCUCACCCAGCUAUGGUGCCAAAGGCUCCAAAGGGCCACCUGAGAUAAGGUAAUGAUUUUGGAGGAAGAGUAAAUUCUGGGGAAUGUUCCCAACGGCUCAACUGGGAAAGGACAAUUGACUUCCUAUGUGUGCACAGCUAUUCAUGCACACUCACACCAACGACACACACACACACACACACACACACACACACAUGAGGGGUUCUAGCAUGCCCGUGGCCUUUCUCCUCAUUGGCCUUCUCCCUCGCGGGGCCAGGGAGAGGCUGCUCACCCUUGGCAGUCCCAGGAGCCCGAGGUGCGGCCCAGGGGGCAUGUCUGAUGUCAGGCCUCCAACAGUGACUCCCUUUUGGGGCCAACAGGUGAGGGAGACAGGAGGCGGGAGUCAGAGGACUGAACCCUGAGUGGGGAGGCACAGGGCACACUGCCAACCGACUCUUCAAUCACACCUGUGAUCACAGCAGAGGCGAAACUCUGGUCACUUCAUCAGAAAGAUCAAGAUUGCAAACCACAGCACCUGGUGUGUGCACACCCUGCACCCUUCACUCAAUCUCCAGCCACUCUGAACCACCUGUAGCUCUCUGAAUGCCACCCGUUUCACCUGUCUCUUUCUCUGUCUGGGCAUCUUCUCUCCCUUCUGGUCUGCCUGGUUAUCUCCUCCUGAUUGUUCAGGUCUCACAUCAAUAAAUUCCUUUUCCGCGGGGACUGGCUGGGACUGGCUGAGGUUCAGUGCAUGGACCCUGGAGCUAGUCAGCCCUGCAAUGAGUGCAGCCCUGCUGCCCACCAGCUGUGUGGGGCAGUCAGGGCUCCUCCCUGGGCAAGAGACAAAAAACCCAACCCACACUGGCUUAAGCAAAAACAGUAUGUAUUGGCUUAUGAACCUGAACAACCCCAGGAUGGACUUCAGGCAAGGGUUUAUCCAGGACUCAAACGAAGAAACCUGGGCCAGGUUUCCUACCCUCCAUUUUUCAGCCCCAUUUCCCUGGUGCGAGCUCCAUUCUCAGAUACACUCUGUCCAAAGCCCCAGGCCACAUGCUCCCCUG
rnacentral:lncRNA from 1 species